GCUCGGGUAUCGAGUUUGCGCACCAAUUUUUGAUUUGGAAACUAGACUCGUAUGCCUUUUGGAAUAUGUAGGGUUUGUGGCUUGUUUUGUUAUAGGUUAAAUCAGUUUUUGGUUUGAAGUUGGUGGACGUGCAAAAUCUGUAAUCUUGGACAGUUGUGUGAGUAACUUCGGACAAGCAUAACUUUGUCGUCCGGACUCUAUGUUGGGCAAACUUUAUAUCAAAAUUCAUGUACCGGAAGUGUACUUUCUAACGGUGGUGGUCUCAUACACUAGUUCUAAACCUAUUAAAUGUUAUGAUCAUUCUAAGACAGAUUGGUCGUGGAAUAUGUUGUCUUUUUGGAGAAUUGGGUAGUGUUUGAGUUUCACACUCGUCGUGAGACACUUUUAGGUAUGGACUUGGACAUAUUUGUAUCCGUUAGACAUUGUUUAGCUUCUUAUUAGCUUUAUAACCUUGUGCCAAGUAUUCGUUGAAUUAGUAACUAAUAUGAGUUAACUUGUGGCUAGGUAAAGAGCUGGUCAUUCGGGAGGUGCCGAAACCUUAGUUUGGUAUACUUCGGUCGACACAAAGGUCACAGGUGGUCGUAGAGUUGGUCCACUACCGGUCGGCAUUUUGGGGACACUUGGAUUAGUAUCGAGUGUUGGUGUUUUUGGGUCGAGUUGGUUGUAAUGGGUCAAACUCUAAUUUUUGCUAAACUCAUUAUGUGAUUAAGGUUGUCAAGUACUUUAUGAUUUCAAGUUUUUAAUUAUGUGGGGAACUCUGUUAAUGUUUAAUUACUUAUGUUGGGAUAAGAGGUAGCAACUUAUGUAUUAUGUAGGUUCGUAAAAUUGUUGACACAUUAUUUAUGUUAAAGUUAAGUCUUCCGCUGGGGUUUUACUC